rnacentral:lncRNA from 1 species
GUUUUUGUUUCUUUGGAGAAUCUUAAUAUAAGAUCUAUUCCUUUAUUUUAAAAUAAGAACAUUUACCUUUUCAUAUAUUAAAAAAAUUAAGAAACAAUCAAAUGAAAAUAACCAAAGAAGAAGCCAUCAAACAGAAAAACAAUUUAAAGCCACUACCGACACAAACCUGUAGUCCAGCAGUGUCAAAGCUCCUGUCGUUCUGGAUGCAUGAUACAUUCUUCAGUGCCUCCGUGCAGUGUGACAGGCUGGUCUGUCAUCUUGGGAUUCUCUUCCACUUUCCUUGCCUGGCUCUUCUUAGCUUCUCCAGGCAGGUUUUUAUGUGACCUUCUCUGUGCUCCCAUAACAUACUGUCCGUAUCUUUAUUUUGGCAGUUUCCAUACUGAAUGACAUUUAUUUACAUCUGCUUUUCUCAAAAGAUUUAAACUCCUUAAAGACUGGAACUCACAACCCUGGCACCCAUUGUGUCCUAAAUCAAUCUUGGUGGAAUGGAAUAGAUUUAUUCUAUAGCUGACUUCUCCCCAUUUAAUUCUUACUGCACACAGAAGGUAUACUCAAUUCCUCAAAAGAAAACCAAAUCCUGCUCCCUUCCUCCAAAGGAGAGGGGGAUUAUUUUAUGGGCUAUUUCAUGUGAGUCCCUGACAUCCAAGCAUUCUCUGUUCCUUCAUUUCCUUCCACAUCGAAGUGGUCUCCUAACUUUGAGCAGGAAGCCCAGGAGAGAAAUAUGGCUGACUCCUGGGGAUCUAAGAUCUUGCAGAGCAUUGGCGAUCCUGAAGGACUCAUGACCCAUGAGAGUAACAGCUAGUGUUAAACAUGUACACAAGGUGACUUCAUAGGAAGCCACUGCUUCUUGCUCUACUGAAAGUAAUGAAUGCAGAGAUCGUCACACUAAGACCAUCCCUGUUUUUCUUUAAACCUUUGGUGGAAUAGCCAAGGUCUUUCAUCAUGGACUGGGGGCUUCUUGAGGGCCAGGACUGUGCUCUUCUCUCCUUAGGGCUCCCAUUGUGUAAAAACAAUACAUAGAUAUAUAAAGGUCUGUUUCUCAUUAGCUAUUCUUAAAUAUUGCCUUGAGUUGAAUGGUAUGCUAGGAGUAUCUCAGCCUGGGUGCUCACUUCUCUGAAGUAUAGAGAAACAGAUGUGAUAAGUUAUAAGAGAAUCUAAGGAAGACCUUGUUCCUUCCUGAAAACUGAAUCUAUAACAUUAUUACCUAAUAUAACAAUGUAUAACAAUAUUACAUAACCAGAUACUUAAAGAAAGAUCACGAGAUUUAGUGUAAGAUGUAUGAAUCUAAAUUUUGCCUUUAGCACUUACUAUACGAUACUGGGAAAUUAUUUGACCUUUCUAGUCUCAUUUUCUCAUCUAUAAAUUAGGCCUCAUAAAUUCCUUCUUCAAAACAUUGUCGUGAGGUUUAAAUGAAUUAAAAUAUAUCAAGUGUCCAUAAACAGAAGUCUGUCAAUAAAAUCAUUGUUGAAUCUGAGUCUUCAACACCCUCUUUAUUAUAGGCAAUCACAGUUCUUUUUUUCCCCCACACUCUGUGCCAUAAACCUUGCCAAAACACUCAGACUAUAUUAACCCUGCAGUAAUAAAGAAAAAACAGCAAGCUCAUUUGGGAAACUUCCAAUAGCAAAAUCGUCUAUUAAAAUUUGAAAAUCAUAUAAAAACUGUAUGACCACAAUAGCCUCUUUCUCUUUUGCUUGGGAACCAGAGGUGAACAUCAUAUUUCCAGUUCUCAGCUUUUGCUGUUUGCUUCCAGAAAAGACAAGUGCUGGUUAUUAGGGCCUGUCAAUAAAUUCCAGAAGUGAAGCAAAUCUUACUCAACUGACUGACAGCUACAAAUUAAUUUUGCCUUCUUUAAACAACUAACCAGUUUCAUGUUUGUGCAGCUGACAAGACUCACUGUGCGCUCUCUUGGCCCAGCACAGCGUGCUCCGCCCAUCAUCAUGUAGUGGGAAUUAUUCUGCCUUCACUCAGCUUGUUAAUGGGAAGACAGUGCAAUCUGCUGAGCAUAGAGGACUUUAGCUUAGAAUUCUUCCUGUUCAGAGAUACACAGGCAUGCUAGGAGAUGUUUAUAGCAGAAAUGACCCCAUACUCGCAGGGGGACAACUCAGUUCUAUCUGCGAUUUCUUAUCACAGUUCAUUCAGCAGCAUUUGACCAAAUACUGUGUUAAAAGCUGAGAUGAAAAGAAAAAUACUAAAGAUGUCACAGGCUAACAGCAAGAAAGGCACAGAUGAGGACUAUUUGUUGUAAUUAUGAAACCUACAAUAGGCAGUGGGGACCCAAAGGAGAGGGGAGUUAUUUUCUGGGGAGAGGUUGGGGUGUAAAAAUACGUCUCCAAAGAGGUAACUAAUUUGUUGGUAUUUGUUUUCUUUUUUAAGCGAGGUACAACGUACAUACAAUAAUGCUGACAUUUCUUCAUUGUACAGCUCAAUAAAUUUUUGCAUAUGUGUAUACCCAUGUAAUUAUCUCCCAGUUCAAGAUAUUGGAUGUGGCAUUUUCAUCUCCCAAGAGGGCUUCUUGUGCUCCUUCUUACCUCCAGGAGUGGCUUCUUCGGCUCAACAUUUGUCUGUGAGAUCCAUCCCUGUGCAGUGCGCACCCGUCACUCUUUCUAUUGCUUUGAAGUAUUACAUUAUAGACACUGGCAUUUGAAGAAUGAGUACAAGUUGCUCCCAGCACCAUCAUGGACCCAAUACUGCUUCAGAGGUGUAGUGCUUGAUUUGCAGAAGUUUACUAGCCCAAUUAAGACCAGGACCUGCAGUGGAACAUGCUGCCUUCCUGUGACUGAGGUAUCUGGGCAAGGCUAUGGCACAAAGAGAGGACCUGAAAUUGAUGUUGCUUUUGUCAGAUGAUAUAUGUAAGUUUUUUCCCUCUGGCUAACGUGGUGAAACCCCGUCUCUACUAAAAAUACAAAAAAAAUUAGCCGGGCAUGGUGGUGGGCGCCUGUAGUCCCAGCUACUCGGGAGGCUGAGGCAGGAGAAUGGUGUGAACCUGGGAGGCGGAGCUUGC